rnacentral:rRNA from 1 species
UUCCGCCGGCGACCGGCGCACGGGUGAGUAACACGUAUGCAACCUGCCCCUGUCAGGGGGACAACCCGCCGAAAGGCGGGCUAAACCCGCGUACAUGCCACCGGGGCAUCCCGGAGGCAGGAAAGGCUUCGGCCGGACAGGGAUGGGCAUGCGGCGCAUUAGGCAGUAGGCGGGGUAACGGCCCACCUAACCGACGAUGCGUAGGGGUUCUGAGAGGAAGGUCCCCCACACUGGUACUGAGACACGGACCAGACUCCUACGGGAGGCAGCAG